UUUUUUCAUUCUAAUCCUGCGAAAAAUCCAAUUUGACUCAAAGCUCUUGUUUUUUUUGGCAUGCCUGUCAGGAUCCCAUCACAUCUCUGGCGUCGGCCAAACUGACGUCAGCCGGCGACCACUCUAUUAACUCACCAUGGCUUCGCAAGGAAAGAAAGGCAAAAAAAGUAAGGGUAAAACCAUCGACCUGAACUCGUUCUUGUCGGACGGAGCCCAGCCCGUUAAUGAUGAUGUUACCGUGGUCACCAUUGCCCCCAUCAGUUCUUGGGCGGAUGAGAUGGACGAAAUAGAUAGUCGGUAUUCUUCCGCUAAACCCGGUGCCAAGAUUGUCUUACCCACGGCUCCGCGAGCCGCUCGCGGUCCUGACAUCAGUGAUGACCGCAUUCCGCGAGAACCACCCUUCACUGCAUAUGUGGGCAACCUGUCCUUCGAGUCCAAAGAAGAGGACGUGAAGAACUUCUUCUCCAAACUUCAGGUGAACAGUGUUCGUCUAGCUCGCGAUGGUGAUCGCAUGAGAGGCUACGGUUAUGUGGAUUUCGAGGAUCGUGCCUCUCUGAUUGAGGCCUUUACCAUGACCGAACAAUACUUGGGCAAUCGGAAGAUUAAGGUGGAUGUGGCCUCGAGAAGUGGCGAUAUGAGUGGAGGACGAGGAGGUUUCCGAAGUGGAGGGAGCAGAUAUGACAGAGAUGAUGGCGAAGAUCGGACAGCGGGAGAUUGGCGAAGUGGGCCCAGGGAAACGCCUUCAUUUGAUCGUGGUGACCGUCGAGACAACUAUGACCGAGGGGGUGACCGGGACCGCGAUCGAGGCGGUUUCGACCGAGGCUAUAACAGUAAUAACCGAUCCUACAGUCAAUACAACGGUGGUAGCGGCUAUGAUCGUCGAGAUAAUCGUGGCUACGGACGCGAUCGUGAUUCAGAGCGACGAGGAUUCGACAACUACGAAAGACGAGAUGGCGGCUUUGGCGGAGAUCGACGUGGUGGAUCCCGAUACGACGAUCGGAGGAACGAUGGAGGAUAUGAGCGACGAGAUCGUGGAGCGGGGUACGAUCGAGGUGGCGACCGAUCCGGUGACCGAGAACCCCGAGAGCGGCCCAAACUGGUUUUGGAGAAACGUACUGCUGCUUCCAAGCCCGAGGACAAUGCACCCGUGGCUGCCAGCUCCAUAUUUGGUGGCGCCAAGCCUGUGGAUACGACGAAGAAGGAGCGAGAAAUCGAAGAGAAGCUCAAAACCACCACGCUCGAACCUGAAGAGGAGGAACCGCCCAAGCCCUCGGCCGCAUCCAUUUUCGGUGGCGCCAAGCCCGUGGACACAGCCGCACGUGAACGCGAGAUCGAGGAGAAGCUUUUGAAAGAGCGUGAGCAAAGAGCCAAGGACGAGACUCCGUCCGAGAAAGGUCAACGUGAUGAGCGAGAAGACGAAAAAUCGGCAGAGGGAAGGCCGACGAGUUCCACGAACCGAAAUCGCGACGAUCGCGAUCAUCGUGGCGGCGGACGCGGUGGAAGUGGUGGCGGCACUCGAUAUGAACCUCCUCAGCGUCGAAGUGGCCCUGAUCAUGAUCGAAGAGAUGACCGCCGAGACGAUCGUCGUGGCCGAGGAGACCGUCAAGAUCGAGGUUCAAGUCUGCGGAAAGAUAGUGAAAGGAGUGGGAGCCCCAACGAGCCAGUCCCAUUGAAGACUGUUGAUGAGAAACCACCCAAUUUUGUGGGAUCGAACAAAUUUUCGCAUUUGCCCGCUGAAGAAGAGGCUGCGAAUAGCCACGAGUCAGAGUGAAGAACCAUCGCCCUUGCAACGAACAACGUUUGCUGAUUCGUAGAGAAAUAUACAUAUAUUUCUGAAAAUCUAAGCAAGUCAUUAUCAUCAACCUCAGCGCCAUAAUUCGAAUCAUCGUCCUCGCCGACAUUUUCCCGAGUUUUUCGAAGCCAUCGUUUCUUUGUGAAGAGGAAGCUCUCCAACCUAGCGGACUGAAAAAGUGUGACAUUAUGAAGUUCAAAUCAAUCCAAGUGACCCCAUCAUAACCGGGGGCAGCUCACCGUCUCCAAUCUCAUAUCUAAUCCUCGAGGACGAAAUAGAGAAGGGUCGCGUGUGCUGCCCCUGUAAUCAAGAGAGAAGACCUAGGACCAUUGUACUUCCGAUCUUAUGAAUGCUGCUAAUGCCCAAAAAUGCAACCAACCUCGACGACUCUGCCCACUCUUUCUGCUGUGAAUGUAAAUCUAAGGCACAGAAGAUUUUAAAGAAGAUUACCCAAGAGCCGUGUUUCGGUGCCAGGCUUUGCUACUGAUGGCAAUCCCCUUCUCGUCAUUUGCAACCAAGUUCAAUGGAGUUUGCAAUCUGCGCAUUCUUGGCCGUUUGUGACCAUCUAUGCUCGUUUCCGUUGCAUUUGCGCUAAUCUUGUCCGCUUUUUUAAUGUCCUCUCUUCUCUUUUAUGUGACGAGAUGCGCUUCAACCAAAAUUUUCCUAUUUCUCUUCCAGAGGGAUUACCUCUUUUAGCGCCGUGGUAGCUACCAUAAAGUUUCACUAAUAUGAUAAUGUUAUUUGCUUCUGUCCGUGCUUGCUUAUCAUUUUUUGAUGCGCGUUUGUUCUGCGAAGGUUAUUUUUCUCAAGACAAUGUCCUCGUGUGUCUCUACAUGUUUACAACCAAUUAUUUCUUCUAAGUUGAAUACAAAAACCACACGAUAAA